rnacentral:rRNA from 1 species
GACGAACGCUGGCGGCGUGCUUAACACAUGCAAGUCGAACGGAAAGGCCCUGCUGUUGUGGGUUGCUCGAGUGGCGAACGGGUGAGUAACACGUGAGUAGCCUGCCCUUGACUUUGGGAUAACUUCAGGAAACUGGGGCUAAUACCGGAUAGGAGCUCCUGCGGCAUGGUGGGGGUUGGAAAGUUUCGGCGGUUGGGGAUGGACUCGCGGCUUAUCAGCUUGUUGGUGGGGUAGUGGCUUACUAAGGCUUUGACGGGUAGCCGGCCUGUGAGGGUGACCGGCCACAUUGGGACUGCGAUAGGGACCAGACUCCUACGGGAGGCAGCAGUGGGGAAUAUUGCACAAUGGGCGGAAGCCUGAUGCAGCAACGCCGCGUGCGGGAUGACGGCCUUCGGGUUGUAAACCGCUUUCGCCUGUGACGAAGCGUGAGUGACGGUAAUGGGUAAAGAAGCACCGGCUAACUACGUG